rnacentral:lncRNA from 1 species
GCAGCUGUCAUAACAACCAAAUUGAUUUUGCAUUUAAUUCAAUUGACUUUCAAUUAAUGCUUUAGCAAUGAGUUGAAAUAUAGUCGUUACAGCACACAAGCAUUAAUAGAUUUUCAAAUCAAAUAACUAACUAAGUCGAAUUCACUACACAUGUAGUCUUUCAAAAUUCGAUCCAAUCGAUCGAGAAUCAUCUGUUAGGUAGGCCAACUGACCGAGUUUUGUUGGGCGUCCAUGUCACAGAACCUUUCUUCUAGCCAAGAAUCCCAUUAUUGAUCGAAUCGGGCAGAUCGACUUAGACACUUCAACUCAGUUUGAAAAUCUUUUCAAUGCAAAAUCACACACAACACUACUUUUGAAAAUUUGUGUAAAGUCACGAGUUUUAAUCGACUUACUUCAUAAUGAAGUCGACUUAAAACUUGCAGUUUUG